UUUUGGACUUUGCUCUGCAUGUCGGGCUCCCUGCACUUCUGGUGCGGCCAACCGAACAUGGGGCUGUCUCUUCACUCUCCCUCCCGUCANGGAAUGUGUCGGGGUCGGGAUGCUUUCNAUCGGUUGCCUGUGCGGUUCUACCCUCUUUUGGGUAGCNAAGUGGUCCCUCNAUGACAUGUUUGCUUGCCGUUCUGAUAUUUUUUUGUCGUUCGGGCAGCCGAAAUGUUGGCGAAAUCCCUGUGUUGGUGCCCGGCCGGUAUGCCUUGUUGCCACCACUUGGAUUUUUGCCGGCUCUCACGGACGCGGUGCCUANUGCUAUAGNUNUGCGGGNCAUUGCCCCNCAGACUCACGGAGGUUCCUUGUANGAGUCACUGCUCUNAUACGCCGUUUGUCGUGCUGCCGGUGGCGGCACGCAGAUCGUGUUCUGUCGUGUCUGCAGUCAGCGGCACGCCAGAACAAAGUGUCCGGAGCGUGCUCGCGUGCAUGCGGAGAUCCUCUCGUCCGUAUGAGCAGCGAUUUCCGGUUUGCGUCGUGCGAAGGCCCCGCCCGUCCGGGUCGGUGCCGGAGCUGACGUGCCGGCUCUCGUUUAAGACGUGC
rnacentral:misc_RNA from 1 species